GGUGCUUUUGUCAGAAUGUGACAUUUAUCUUACGUGGGGUCUUAGUGGGUUUCUGGUGAAUAUAACUCUUCUAAUGAUGAGUAGUAUGAUUCAUUCAGUUAUCUCUCCAUUUUCAUUAUUCAUUCAUGAAGCUGAUAUUUACUCUCUAUUUGGUGCAUCCUGCUGGGUAAAAAGAAAUGAAUCAGUGAUGAGUCACAUCAGGAUUCUUUAGAGGUGGACUAGUCCUUCUUUUUAAAUGACUGCAAAUUAGUUCUAAGAUACAACAUAGGAUAAAAAACCAUUACUCCCUUCCAGUUCCUUUGAUUUGUGAAGUUACCAAGGUUACAGUGAUAAAGGGAAGACAGCCUAAGUAGAUGUUAAAACGUUAGGUUAAGAAAAUAAACUAACACUUUACCACGAACCUGAAAAAAAAAUCCUUAUUAAACAUCUGCAUGUUACCUUUUCAGAGCCAUCAUCGAUUGAAAACUCAUUUUUUUAAAUUAAGUAUUUCAUGGGAAAAUCAAACAAGAUAAUCCAU
rnacentral:lncRNA from 1 species